UCUGCUCUGCUCUGCUCUGCUCUGCUCUGCUCUGCUCCCGUCAUCUCCCCUCCAGAUCCUGCUCAUCGUUUUUAACAGGAAGACAAUCAGUCCAAAUUACAUCCACCUGUGCUCUUCACUCACCUGCCGGCACCGUCCCCUGAACCACUCCCCCGCUCUCCCCCCUGCAGCUGAGCUAACCACACCCCGCCACCACACCGUCAUUAGCGGACUAUAAGGACGCACACAUCUCCUCAAACGUGCAAGUAAAUAAACCAACAACUUCCACACACAAAGACGUCAUUCUCCAGGUCGUCUUUGAAAAGAAACGUUACUCCACCUAUUGCUCUGGUGGUGAAUUGCUUUGCAACACGCUCAACCCUUUUAGAAUCAUGAAUUGAAACGAGUCCAUCAACACGAUUGCACGGAAAGCCGCAGGCGCCGUUGCAGAAGCAUGCCAGCGCCUUAAGGCAGAAAUUGGCGUAAUUAAAUCCAUCUUAAAACGACACACUUCUGGUGGAAGCUGACAAACUGCAAUUAAGAUUAAGACGGUCAAAGCCAUCUCUGGCAUAUUGGAUGAAGCUGAAGGGAUCUGGGUGAGACCAUGGUGAAGAUCAACUUCUGUGAAUACACCCAAAGUAAAGGCAAAGGGUUUGGGUGGAGUAUCAGUACAGGAGGCAAAGAAAUCGUUUGAAAGGGGUUAGAUCUGUAAUCCCAACGUAACGUGUGGAAAUGUUCCUCCUUGGAUAUUACCAGCUAACAAUAAGGAUUUAACACUCAUAGUAAGGACACAAUGGAUGGAAAUAAACUUGAAUGACAUUGGACAUCAGAGUAUGUUUCAACUAACAUUAUUUUAACUAUCUGUAGAUGUAUACAGACAGAUAUCAAGACAACAGGAAUGGACACGUGGGAUCUGGAGUAUUCAUAUCAGAAUAUAGUGUGACCAUGUGCAAACAAUAAUAAUGUCAGACUGUCUGUUCAGGUGAAAUGAUUGCAAUAACCUUGGGACUGUAAUGGGUCCUUUGGCUUAUCCUGCAGCUUGAUACUGUACGUGAACGUAUCAUCUUCUGUGCUCCACUGUACGCCAAGAGCUUGUUCAGUCGGUAAGGCAUCGUGGCUGAGAUCAAGGUUUUCUAGCUUGCUGCCUCGGUGCUGUGCAGGGAUAGAUAACAAGACCUUUCUGCUAUUGCUCGCCCCUUUGGUGAGGUCGGGUCUCUGCAAUAACUGUCGGAUUAAAACGGAUUAAAUGGCCAGAUAAAGGAUGAAUUGGUAUCAUACCCUGAACCAGAGACUUUAGAAGAGUUAGUGCAGUACGGGAUUACGGGUGGAUAAUCAAUGUCGGGAGCAACAGAGAGAAAGGAGGCGGGAUGUGUCGACCUUCCAACGGAGGGUGGCAGCUCCAGGCGCUACACGCCACGCUCACAAUGAAAUGUCAGUCAAAAGACUGACUACUCUAGUAGUAGACUACUACUACUCUGGACGGAAGGUUGUUGGCCAAAAUCACCAGUCGAACUGAACUGAACCCGUUAAGUUACUUAUUUCAGGUAACCAUCAUGAAGAGAUCAGCUUGUUAAUUAUCACUCUCCCAUGAUUCCGAUCGUUCUAGAGCAUACAUGGUUGGUUAAGCACAAUCCUGUGAUUGAUUGGACAGAGGCUAGGAUAACCAAUUGGAGUAAAUCAUGCCAUGCCAACUGCUUGCAGUCUGCCAGUGCGAAACUAGAUAACAGUCAGGGAACCACCCAAUGUACGGCUGACCUAUCUCUCGUCCCCAUUGACUACCAUGACCUAGGAGAGGUUUUCAGUAAACCCUCCUCACCGCCCUUAUGACCGCGCAAUUGAGUUGAAGUCCGGUUCCACAUUUCCCAGUAGUCGUCUGUACUGCAUCUCUAAGUCUGAACGCGUAGCCAUGGAGAAAUACAUUAAGGACGUACUCUUCGUCUCCAUUGGGAGCAGGAUUUUUUUUUUGGUCUCCAAGAAGGACGGUUCCCUUCAGCCAUGUAUUAAUGAUCGAGGUCUCAAUGACAUAACCAUCAAGAACUAGCAUCCGUUACCAUUGAUGAAUGAGGCCUUUGAUGCACUUCAAGGGUCUACCAUCUUCACAAAGUUAGAUCUACGUAAUGCAUACCACUUGGUCAGAAUACGAAAGGGAGACUAGUGGUCGACAGGCUUUAAUACUCCAUUGGGACAUUUUGAAUAUCAAGUCAUGCCGUUUGGGUUGACUAAUGCCCCAGCGGUAUUUCAGGGGCUUUUUCCACGUUCUCAGAGACAUGUUGGGACGUUUCGUGUUCGUAUAUCUUGAUGACAUUCUCAUAUUCCAUAUUCCAGAGAUCCCACCGAACACAUUCAACAUGUCAGCCUGGUUCUACAAAGUGUCCUGGAGGACAAGUUAUAUGCAAAGGCUGAGAAAUGUGAAUUUCAUGCUCACACUGUUUCAUUCCUGGUUAUGUCAUUUCUAAGGGACAGGUGAGGAUGGAUCCAGCUACGGUGGAGGCAGUACUUGAGUGUCCUAAACCCGACACGAGAAAACAACUGCAGAGGUUUUGGGGUUUUGCCAACUUUCACCAAUGGUUUAUCCGGGCUUACAGUCGUGUUGCCUCUCCUCUUACUGCACUUACCUCCUGUGUCUAACCCUUCGUGUGGACUUCAGAAGUGGAGGAGCUCAAGAGGCGGUUCACUUCUGCUACGAUCCUCUCCCAACCAGACCCGUGGCGGCAGUUUGUGGUUGUGGCCUCGGACGUGGGGUUGGGAGCCAUUUUAUCCCAACGCACUGAGACGGACAGUAAGCUUCAUCCCUGUGCUUACUUGUCGCGUCAGUUGUACCCGGGUGACCGUAAUUACGAUGUGGGAAACCGGGAGCUAGAGGCGGGCAAGGUCGCCUUAGAGGAAUGGCGACAUUGUCUGGACGAAGAAUCUUGAGUACGUUCGUACAAACCAGGGGGGCCCUGUUUUUUUAAAUGUUUUUCCUUCUCCCUGACUUACAGACCUUGAUCACGCGACAUCAAAAUGCUGGACUUAAUCCAUGAUUAUAUUAUAUUAAUCCAGAGUUCAGACCAGGAAGCAGAGUCGCAGUCUUACACGCGCUUCCAUUCGAGCAGUCACUCACCCAAACCCUAAUGAACCCUAUAGAGACCGUGUCUGCCCCACGGACACAGUUAUCUAAAUUAAAGGUAAACAACAAUGGAGUUAUAGUAAAUAACUUAAUAAAAUUUAAAAGUAAUAAUGCAACAGUGCAACAAAAUAGUAGAAUUAAAGGGGGAAUCUUGAAUAUUAGAUGUCUGUCAUCUAAAGCUGUUUAAAUGAAUUACUUCCUUAUCCUCACCCAUCGCGUCAAUAAAACAGCGCGUAUUGACACUUCAAACUCUCACACCCUGAAACUGCACAAUCCGGUACAGUAGGUGGCGGUGUGUACCGAUUGAAGUUGGUUGCGAAACGUCGAGGAAAAAUAAGAAAAA
ensembl:lncRNA